rnacentral:lncRNA from 1 species
GUUAUUCCAAAUGCAUUCUCUCCCAGCUGCAACAGUUUAAGUAAUUCACUAUUUUUUGAGGAGAUGUGAAUAGGGAUAAAAGCGGGAAGAACUGAGCACUGCUGAUGAUAUACUGCACUUUGUGGGAAUCCAGCCUACAGGGACAGCUUUACAAGCCAUCACAGGCUUCAGGCAUCUAUUUUUAUCGAACUGAACAAUUGUUGCUCAGAAAAAGGAG